rnacentral:rRNA from 1 species
UAGGGAAUCUUCGGCAAUGGACGAAAGUCUGACCGAGCAACGCCGCGUGAGUGAAGAAGGUUUUCGGAUCGUAAAACUCUGUUGUUAGAGAAGAACAAGGACGUUAGUAACUGAACGUCCCCUGACGGUAUCUAACCAGAAAGCCACGGCUAACUACGUGCCAGCAGCCGCGGUAAUACGUAGGUGGCAAGCGUUGUCCGGAUUUAUUGGGCGUAAAGCGAGCGCAGGCGGUUUCUUAAGUCUGAUGUGAAAGCCCCCGGCUCAACCGGGGAGGGUCAUUGGAAACUGGGAGACUUGAGUGCAGAAGAAGAGAGUGGAAUUCCAUGUGUAGCGGUGAAAUGCGUAGAUAUAUGGAGGAACACCAGUGGCGGAGGCGGCUCUCUGGUCUGUAACUGACGCUGAGGCUCGAAAGCGUGGGGAGCAAACAGG